GGGCCUUUCUCUUAUAUAGGGUCCUAUUACCCCCCGUCCCCAGCCCCGAUUUUGGGGUCUUUCUCUUAUAUAGGGUCCUAUUACCCCCACCCCCAGUCCCGAUUUUUCAGUCUGAUGCCUGGUCACCCUGCCCUGCCCCCUCUCUCUGCUGGGUAGGGGUGAGGGUCUCUCUCUUUCUCCCCUCAGCCCGCUGCCUCCUGGCUGCUCUGAUGGGGUGGGACGGGACUGUGCCAACCACCUGCCUCCCCACUGAUCGGCCCCCCUCCCCUGGGAACGAUGGGGUUGUCAGCAGGCUGUUGCUCUUCCAGGGGCAGGUGACCGUCGAGGCGGUGGCUGUGAAUUUCCCUGCGUCAGAGGGGACCGAGCUGGAGCCCGCUCAGCCCGCUGUAGAGACGUCGUGCAGGAGAGCUACGAGACUGUGACCUCGCUGGGCUGUGUUCAUUAUGGAAGAUAUCUCGCUGCUGAGGGUGAGCAUGAGAGGGUCUUCUCCAAGACUGCGGCAUCCACCCUGGCCCUUAAGUGGCUCACCUGUGUGAAGCAAUCGUCUCCCCCACUCCUCCCCAGUGACGGCAGAGUGGCAUGGGAAAGUUACCCUUAAUGGGGCAAGAGACAAAGCAGUUCUGCCAAAAAAGCUGUGGCAAUGGAUUGCCCAGUAUCUUCAGGAGAGAUUCAUGGAGAUCUCAGGGGCAGAUUCCAGUGAAGUGAGGGAGUCAAUCAUCACCCUAUUCCGCCGCUCAGACUACGCAUGUGGUGGUACGCACAUUAUACAGACACAAGCCUGCUUUCUGCAACCCUCCUGCCCCCAAGAACUCACUUCAGCGAUUCCCAAAAUCAAAGUCACUUACCAGGGGCCUCCUCUCCUGUUUGCACUUCACCAAGCUCUGACAGCUGUGACUGGCUAGCCUCCUCCGGGGUAGAGAAGAACUCCUGGCUACAUGCAUCUCUGACCUCUGACUCAUCAUCUGCCUCUGGGUCUCCCUCCACCUUCAUAGCCUCAUCCUAACUCGGUCCACUCCUCCUGGCUCAGUCCAUUCUCGACUGGCAAGUGAGCCACCGAAGUAUCCACAAUGGACUUCACAGUUGAGGUGGGGUCACCACCGAGUAUCACAUCCAGCUCUUUGUAGAACCGGGAGCUUGUGGGUGCAGCACCACAGUGGUGGUUUGCCUCCCGCACCAAGGAGUAGGCCUUCCACAGCUCCUUCACUUUCACCCUGGAUUGCAGUGUGUCCCCGUCAUGGUCCCUUUCUCUCAUGCAUCGUGAAAUCUGUCCAUACGUAUCCUAUGGCUGGAGAACAGCUGGGAGUGGACAGCCUCCUCUCCCAAAUGCUGAUGAGGUCCAGCAGCUCAACAUUGCUCCAAGCUGGGGAUCGCCUGAUGCGUGGAGCAGGUGUGGUCACCUGGAAAGAUGUGCUGAGACCACUGCAUGCGUCACCGAGCACACAGGAAGAGGAAUUUCAAAAUUCCCAGGGAAUUUCAGGGGUGAGGUUCACAGUUGGUCACCUGCGGGUGGUGCAGUAGAGUUCAAACCGAAGACCAGAGAGGCAAGAACAGGGAUUGUGGGACAUCUCCUGGAGGCCAAUCGCAGCGCUGUAAUCGACCAGGGUAUCUACACUGGUACUACGAUGCUGUAGUCUUUGCACAGAAAGCUCUAUAUCUCUCAUUGGGGUGGUAUUUUUACAGCACUGCAACUUCACAGUUUCUGCUCACUAAGUGGCUUGGCAGUAUGUACACCGUGGGAGUUACACUGCAGAAAGCUGCUUUACUGCAGAAACUUGCCAGUGUAGACCAGGCAUAGAUGGCUUACUUAAGAACGCAAGACUGGUCAUAAUGGGUCAGACCAAUGGUCCAUCUAGCCCAGUGUGCUGCCUGAGAGUGACCAGUGCCAGAUGCAUCAGAGGGAAUGAACAGAACAGGCAUGUUGAUCUGCAAGGUGAAGGUCUGUCACUCUUACCUUUAACAUUAUUGUUGUUGAUUCCUACUUAUCCUAUCUUACCACCCCUCCCCUGAGGUCUCUGAACAAAUCAGGUGUGAACCACUCCUUUGAUACAGACCUGUCCCAAUCCAGCUGAAUUGAGGCACACUUUGGGCCAAUGUUAUUUUGGAAAAGGCCUGCUUAACCCAGCAGGUUUCUCAAAGUAUCUGUUGCUGUGAACUGCAUGUAGUGUGGAUGUGUGAACCCCAAAGAUAUCAAACAUGAAAGAAACACAAGUCCAGCUUUGGGGAGGUUUCCAGAACCAGGCCUCGGGGUUUAACAGCUGUACUCAAAAGGCAAAGGGUCCUCAGCACCUAUAAAAAUAACUCGUUGAAAAAUGUAAAUUAAAUAAAUAAACCAAACCAACCAAAAAAAAAAA